rnacentral:miRNA from 1 species
UAUUUUGGGUAAAUAGUCAU